rnacentral:rRNA from 1 species
UACAGAGGGUGCGAGCGUUAAUCGGAAUUACUGGGCGUAAAGCGCGCGCAGGCGGUCAUUUAAGUCUGGUGUUUAAUCCUGGGGCUCAACCCCAGUUCGCAUCGGAAACUGGACGACUUGAGUGUAAGAGAGGAAAGUGGAAUUCCACGUGAUAGCGGUGAAAUGCGUAGAUAUCGUAAGGAAGACCAGUGGCGAAGGCGGGAUCUCUG